UACGAAGGGUGCAACGUUGCUCGGAAUUAUUGGGCGUAAAGCGCACGUAGGCGGCCUUGUAAGUCGGAUGUGAAAUCCCUCGGCUUAACCGAGGACGUGCAUCGAACUGUGAGGCUCGAGUAUGGAAGAGGUCGCAGAAUUCCGGUGUAGAGGUGAAAUUCGUAGAUAUCGGAGGAAUACCAGUGGCGAAGGCGGCGACCUGGCCAAUACGUGACGCUGAGGUGCGAAGCGUGGGA
rnacentral:rRNA from 1 species